CCUACGGGAGGCAGCAGUGAGGAAUAUUGGUCAAUGGACGAGAGUCUGAACCAGCCAAGUAGCGUGAAGGAUGACUGCCCUAUGGGUUGUAAACUUCUUUUAUAUGGGAAUAAAACGUUCCACGUGUGGGAUUUUGUAUGUACCAUAUGAAUAAGGAUCGGCUAACUCCGUGCCAGCAGCCGCGGUAAUACGGAGGGUCCGAGCGUUAUCCGGAUUUAUUGGGUUUAAAGGGAGCGUAGGUGGAUUGUUAAGUCAGUUGUGAAAGUUUGCGGCUCAACCGUAAAAUUGCAGUUGAAACUGGCAGUCUUGAGUACAGUAGAGGUGGGCGGAAUUCGUGGUGUAGCGGUGAAAUGCUUAGAUAUCACGAAGAACUCCGAUUGCGAAGGCAGUUCACUGGACAGCAACUGACACUGAGGCUCGAAAGUGUGGGUAUCAAACAGGAUUAGAUACCCGAGUAGUC
rnacentral:rRNA from 1 species